rnacentral:tRNA from 1 species
ACCAGGAUGGCCGAGUGGUUAAGGCGUUGGACUUUAGAUCCAAUGGACGAUAGUCCUCGUGGGUUCUGAACCCCACUCCUGGUA